rnacentral:rRNA from 1 species
CCUACGGGUGGCAGCAGUGGGGAAUAUUGCACAAUGGGGGAAACCCUGAUGCAGCGACGCCGCGUGAGUGAAGAAGUAUCUCGGUAUGUAAAGCUCUAUCAGCAGGAAAGAUAAUGACGGUACCUGACUAAGAAGCCCCGGCUAACUACGUGCCAGCAGCCGCGGUAAUACGUAGGGGGCAAGCGUUAUCCGGAUUUACUGGGUGUAAAGGGAGCGUAGACGGCAGCGCAAGUCUGGAGUGAAAUGCCGGGGCCCAACCCCGGAACUGCUUUGGAAACUGUGCGGCUCGAGUGCGGGAGAGGUAGGCGGAAUUCCUAGUGUAGCGGUGAAAUGCGUAGAUAUUAGGAGGAACACCAGUGGCGAAGGCGGCUUACUGGACCGUAACUGACGUUGAGGCUCGAAAGCGUGGGGAGCAAACAGGAUUAGAUACCCUUGUAGUC